rnacentral:rRNA from 1 species
UACGGAGGGGGCAAGCGUUGUUCGGAAUUACUGGGCGUAAAGGGCGCGCAGGCGGCUGCUCAAGUCAGGCGUGAAAGGCCUGGGCUCAACCCGGGAAUUGCGCUUGAGACUGGGCUGGCUUGAGUGCGGGAGAGGAUGGUGGAAUUCCCAGUGUAGAGGUGAAAUUCGUAGAUAUCAGGAGGAACACCAGCGGCGAAGGCGGCGCUCUGGGCUGGAACUGACGCUGAGGCACGAAGGUCAGGGGAGCAAACGGG